rnacentral:rRNA from 1 species
UACGUAGGUGGCAAGCGUUGUCCGGAUUUAUUGGGUUUAAAGGGUGCGUAGGCGGCUUAUUAAGUCAGUGGUGAAAUACUCUAGCUCAACUAGAGGGGUGCCAUUGAUACUUGAUGAGCUUGAGUACAGAUGAGGUAGGCGGAAUUGACGGUGUAGCGGUGAAAUGCUUAGAUAUCGUCAAGAACACCUAUAGCGAAGGCAGCUUACUAGGCUGUAACUGACGCUGAGGCACGAAAGUGUGGGGAUCAAACAGGAUUAGAUACCUCCAGUC